AAGUGCAUUCCUGAUUCGUGAUUCGUGGGCCUGGGACGUCGCUUUUUGCUCGCAUUGGAUAUUUCGCCUCUCUGUUAUACAGUUUUAAUAACGAAUUGCUUUUUUAUGGUUUCCGGCUUAUGGAGCAGCGCAGAAAUUGGCAAAGAACGUCGGUGGAGGCCAGCGGCAGCAACAGCACCAGCAGCCGAGGUAUGAAUGAGUUCGGCUACCGCCGCGUCAUCAUGAGCCAGCCUUGACACCCAUUCAUACGCCGCCGAAUCAAACGAUGGACUACAGCUUCAAAACGCAGGACUUACAUAUGUACCCUUUCGCUUUGCCAUAAACCGAGUCGUUUCCGACUUCCCACCGCCAAAAGUCGUCCUAUCCAAUUCGAGAUAAGCCGAGUCCAAUCCCAGCAGGACAGAAGCGCACCCCUUGCAAGAUCCGAACACAACAAGCUAUCGUCAUCCUUCGACCUGGCCACCGACGACAAGGACUUUGACUAUGGCUAUCAAGGGAGGAGCUACGCGGGCUACUGACUCUAGAUAGAUCUCGUUGUUGUUAGCUUUAAGGAUAUAAGCGUACAUAUAAUUCGAUAGUAGAUACAAAUAUUUUCCACUUGUUUGUUUAUUUGUACUAAGCUAAGCUUUGAUGGAUAAAACUAUUAAAAAAACUGCUGUAUCUCUUUUCCGGGAAACCAUCCC